GUCUUCUUAGCGCAGUGAGCAGCGCGUCAGUCUCAUAAUCUGAAGGUCCUGAUGUUCGAGCCUGAGAAAAGGCA
rnacentral:tRNA from 2 species